rnacentral:tRNA from 1 species
AUACUUAAGGGUUGAAAGCCGCAUUCGUAAUGCGUAGGUCGUAGGUUCGAUUCCUAUUUCCGGCACCA